ACGCUAGACUUCGAUCAGUAAACUUGUGUUCGUCUACAAAUCCUACAUCGUGUUGUCGACUUUAGCAGAACACAGGGUGUCCAUGCUGCAAGAUUUGAAAUGCAUCAUAGAAAAGAUAAGUGCUAAAAGAAAUGUAAAUCUGUUAAAUCCGUUGUACUGAAUCUCGAGCAUAGUAUCGAGUGUUACGAAGUAGUAACAGAGUUGAAACGAUGUAUAUUUCAAGUAACAAUUUCAGCACUAGAGAAAGCCGAUCAAUUAACAAAUAGAAAUAUUGAUGGCACGUGACCGAAAAUUCACAGGUCAUUAAUGGUAGAACACGACAAAAGCUUUCGAACUUUUGGGGAAUAAAUUGCUAUUCUUUGUGGUGUUGUAUACAUUCUAUAUGCAUAUGUGUAAAUGUUUUACGAGUCUUAUGACGUAAUGUUAUUUGCAGAAAAAUAAGGGUAGAGGCGAUGGCAUAUAAAAAGGCGGAAACAUAACGCCACGCGGCGCUCUUGAUGGGUCAUAUCAGAAGCCGGAAGCUUCAUCUAACAUCGCAACACAAGGGGCUGAAACUCAAUUACCAUUGAGACGCACAGGACUAUGUUUCGCAUGUGGCGAACCGGGUCAUCGGAAAGGAGCAGCUGGAUGUUCAGCAAACAGCUCGACCAAUAAGAAAUGUUUUGAGAGGUACUCUGAAGGAGCGAUUAGAGGGCUCGGGCUUGCAUGGGCUUCGAAGAGAUUAGAUGGCGGAGAGAAUGGCUAAGUAAAUACUUAGAACAAUCAAGAGCAGACAAUACGGUGAAGAAAAGAAUUCUUCAUGUGCACAUUUCAUAUACUGUGAAGAAAAUGUAGUCGCCAUGCCAGCCUUACAUAUAUCAGUAGUAAUGUACAUGGCUCAAUUGAUGGAUCGAGGAAAUGUAAUAACGUUUUUUACAUCUGUGUUUUACAGUAUUAAUUGGAUGCAUUCUAUUAAUAGUGUACAUGAUCCAAAGAAAGAUUUAACAAACUAUUAUAAGAAGCUUCAAAACGUGUGUGCUUCAAACCAUUUCACAAGAAAGAUGUAUCAUGUACAUGUGCAUUCAUUAGAGAUGAUACAAACAUUGUGUUUGAUAUAAGGAGAUUCCACUGUUUUCAUUUAUUGAUAAUUUUUGGGUUAUGCAUGUACAUGUAUCAUGCAUAUUAACAAAUUAAGUGAGUUUCAUUGUAAUGACCUACAAUUGAAAUCUGAUCACUUUGGUAUUAAUGUACGCCAUUAUAAUACUGGCAUGUAUACGAAUGGUUCGGAUAUUAUAAUUGCAAAAUGUACAACUACAACUUCCCAUGUGGCGUUUUAUUAACAAAUAUGUAAUUAGCAAAUUGGUCAGAUGAAUCAAAUGAUUUUUUGUUCAAACCAGUUAUUGGUUAUAUAUAUGUAAUUAUUUAGACUAGCUAACGCCGAGGGCGUGUUUUAGAGAUGUUUGAAGCGACAUGGUCGAUGGAAGUCUGAUAGGGCUAAAGAUGGGUACAUUGAUGAUUCUCUAGACAAAAAGCUUUUUAUCACUAGACAAUUGAAAUUAUAAUUGAUUUGCGGUUCGAAUAUAAAACCUUACUAAACUU